UCAUCUCCGGGGGUAGAGCACUGUUUCGGCUAGGGGGCCAUCCCGGCUUACCAACCCGAUGCAAACUGCGAAUACCGGAGAAUGUUAUCACGGGAGACACACGGCGGGUGCUAACGUCCGUCGUGAAGAGGGAAACAACCCAGACCGCCAGCUAAGGUCCCAAAGUCAUGGUUAAGUGGGAAACGAUGUGGGAAGGCCCAGACAGCCAGGAUGUUGGCUUAGAAGCAGCCAUCAUUUAAAGAAAGCGUAAUAGCUCACUGGUCGAGUCGGCCUGCGCGGAAGAUGUAACGGGGCUAAACCAUGCACCGAAGCUGCGGCAGCGACACUCAGGUGUCGUUGGGUAGGGGAGCGUUCUGUAAGCCUGCGAAGGUGGCCUGUGAGGGUUGCUGGAGGUAUCAGAAGUGCGAAUGCUGACAUAAGUAACGAUAAAGCGGGUGAAAAGCCCGCUCGCCGGAAGACCAAGGGUUCCUGUCCAACGUUAAUCGGGGCAGGGUGAGUCGACCCCUAAGGCGAGGCCGAAAGGCGUAGUCGAUGGGAAACGGGUUAAUAUUCCCGUACUUGGUGUUACUGCGAAGGGGGGACGGAGAAGGCUAUGUUGGCCGGGCGACGGUUGUCCCGGUUUAAGCGUGUAGGUGUGUGUUCCAGGUAAAUCCGGUUCACUUUAACACUGAGGCGUGACGACGAGGCACUACGGUGCUGAAGCAACAAAUGCCCUGCUUCCAGGAAAAGCCUCUAAGCAUCAGGUAACACGAAAUCGUACCCCAAACCGACACAGGUGGUCAGGUAGAGAAUACCAAGGCGCUUGAGAGAACUCGGGUGAAGGAACUAGGCAAAAUGGUGCCGUAACUUCGGGAGAAGGCACGCUGACAUGUAGGUGAAGUGAUUUACUCAUGGAGCUGAAGUCAGUCGAAGAUACCAGCUGGCUGCAACUGUUUAUUAAAAACACAGCACUGUGCAAACACGAAAGUGGACGUAUACGGUGUGACGCCUGCCCGGUGCCGGAAGGUUAAUUGAUGGGGUCAGCGCAAGCGAAGCUCCUGAUCGAAGCCCCGGUAAACGGCGGCCGUAACUAUAACGGUCCUAAGGUAGCGAAAUUCCUUGUCGGGUAAGUUCCGACCUGCACGAAUGGCGUAAUGAUGGCCAGGCUGUCUCCACCCGAGACUCAGUGAAAUUGAACUCGCUGUGAAGAUGCAGUGUACCCGCGGCAAGACGGAAAGACCCCGUGAACCUUUACUAUAGCUUGACACUGAACAUUGAGCCUUGAUGUGUAGGAUAGGUGGGAGGCUUUGAAGUGUGGACGCCAGUCUGCAUGGAGCCGGCCUUGAAAUACCACCCUUUAAUGUUUGAUGUUCUAACGUGGACCCGUGAUCCGGGUUGCGGACAGUGUCUGGUGGGUAGUUUGACUGGGGCGGUCUCCUCCUAAAGAGUAACGGAGGAGCACGAAGGUUGGCUAAUCCUGGUCGGACAUCAGGAGGUUAGUGCAAUGGCAUAAGCCAGCUUGACUGCGAGCGUGACGGCGCGAGCAGGUGCGAAAGCAGGUCAUAGUGAUCCGGUGGUUCUGAAUGGAAGGGCCAUCGCUCAACGGAUAAAAGGUACUCCGGGGAUAACAGGCUGAUACCGCCCAAGAGUUCAUAUCGACGGCGGUGUUUGGCACCUCGAUGUCGGCUCAUCACAUCCUGGGGCUGAAGUAGGUCCCAAGGGUAUGGCUGUUCGCCAUUUAAAGUGGUACGCGAGCUGGGUUUAGAACGUCGUGAGACAGUUCGGUCCCUAUCUGCCGUGGGCGCUGGAGAACUGAGGGGGGCUGCUCCUAGUACGAGAGGACCGGAGUGGACGCAUCACUGGUGUUCGGGUUGUCAUGCCAAUGGCACUGCCCGGUAGCUAAAUGCGGAAGAGAUAAGUGCUGAAAGCAUCUAAGCACGAAACUUGCCCCGAGAUGAGUUCUCCCUGAGACUUUAGGUCUCCUGAAGGAACGUUGAAGACGACGACGUUGAUAGGCCGGGUGUGUAAGCGCAGCGAUGCGUUGAGCUAACCGGUACUAAUGAACCGUGAGGCUUAACCUUACAACGCCGAAG
rnacentral:rRNA from 1 species